rnacentral:rRNA from 1 species
AACCAGCACCUCAAGUGGUCAGGAUGAUUAUUGGGCCUAAAGCAUCCGUAGCCGGCUCUGUAAGUUUUCGGUUAAAUCUGUACGCUCAACGUACAGGCUGCCGGGAAUACUGCAGAACUAGGGAGUGGGAGAGGUAGACGGUACUCGGUAGGAAGUGGUAAAAUGCUUUGAUCUAUCGAUGACCACCUGUGGCGAAGGCGGUCUACCAGAACACGUCUGACACUGAGGCACGAAGGCCAGGGGAGCAAACGGG